rnacentral:lncRNA from 1 species
GGAUACAUCUAUAAAUCCAUAACAACGUCAAUUUGUAAGAACUUUGGAAAGUAUAUGAGAAUUCAUUUUCUUCUGCUGUUGAUUUAUGUCCAGCACGGGAAACUCUCUGCCAAAGUCACUUUCAUUGCCUUUCUACUCUUCCAUCUAGCUUUCUUCCUCUAGAAGAUUGUUUGAGCUAGUAUCACUCACCAUAGGCUCAACCUCCAUCACAGAUCCAUCACUGAUCCAUCACUGUUUCACGCUGCUGCAUCCAAUUCACGUUUCAGUCCGCUGUUGUUCCACCUUCUCUGUUCCGCCAUCAACCACU